rnacentral:rRNA from 1 species
UUGGUGGCGAUAGCGAAGAGGUCACACCCGUUCCCAUGCCGAACACGGAAGUUAAGCUCUUCAGCGCCGAUGGUAGUUGGGGGCUUCCCCCUGUGAGAGUAGGACGCCGCCAAGC